rnacentral:rRNA from 1 species
UGGGGAAUUUUGGACAAUGGGCGCAAGCCUGAUCCAGCAAUGCCGCGCGCAGGAUGAAGGCCUUCGGGUUGUAAACUGCUUUUGUACGGAGCGAAAAGGUCUGCCCUAAUACGGUGGGCUCAUGACGGUACCGUAAGAAUAAGCACCGGCUAACUACGUGCCAGCAGCCGCGGUAAUACGUAGGGUGCGAGCGUUAAUCGGAAUUACUGGGCGUAAAGCGUGCGCAGGCGGUUAUAUAAGACAGAUGUGAAAUCCCCGGGCUCAACCUGGGACCUGCAUUUGUGACUGUAUAGCUAGAGUACAGUAGAGGGGGAUGGAAUUCCGCGUGUAGCAGUGAAAUGCGUAGAUAUGCGGAGGAACACCGAUAGCGAAGGCAAUCCCCUGGACCUGUACUGACGCUCAUGAACGAAAGCGUGGGGAGCAAACA